CUAAGUCACCGUCCCCCAUCCCCCACGGUCCCCUGUGAGAACCAGUCAGUGUGUUGAGCAUCAGCUGAGGCUUCCAGAUUCCAUGGGGAAUGACCCCCAUUGUGUGUGCUGAGGACCAGGCAGCCUCUGGCUAACUUCUUGCUUCUCGGUGUCCUGGGAACCGGUGCUGUUUGCUCCUGUCUGGAGCCUCUGUGGCUGAGCAGAGCACAUGCUGCCCUGGCCAGUGUUUCCAUAGCUGCCUCCAGGCUCCAGGCCCCAGGCUCCAGGCUGCUGCAGACUGUGAAUGAGGCCUCUCCUCUGCCCUCUGUGCUCUGUGCCAUCUCCAUGACUAAGCUUCCUGCCGUGCUCCUUCAGAUGGCAGGCCUCUGGGGCAAAUGUGGAUCCUCCAGUCUCCCAACAAGUUCUUCCAUGAGGCCCCUGAUCCUAAAGUCAAAGAUUCCAGCUGAAUCCAUGUGUGUACAAGUGCAUGUGACCAAUACAACCGGAGCCCCCAACCAGCCCAGAGAUGACAGAGGUGGAAGAGCAGCAGUAUGGGAGCCGUGGUAAGGGCAGCUGCUUCCAAGGCUGCUACCUGACUCAGUUCCUCAUGACCAGAGGCUACGGUCCAACAGCUUGAAUCUCAAAUGUCCUCACAGGCUCGUGGGCUGAAAGACUUGUCCCCUCUGGUGGUGCUGUUUUAGGAGGGUCUGGAAACUAGGAGGUAGGACAAGCAGGGCCCUGUGCCUUAAAGGUUAUUCUCAUAUUCUCCCCUUCUCUUCUCUCUCUCUCUCUCUCUCUCUCUCUCUC
rnacentral:lncRNA from 1 species